GCUGUGGGCCAAAAGUGGUAACCUUCCAAUUACAAGAGGCCCACAGCCACUCUAGCGUAUGAGCCCAAGAGGAUGACAAUGACACGUCAUCAACCACGCUCUCAAUGGCAGAGGUGGGUUUUCGGAUGUAGCCGAACGUAGGCAUUGCGCCUGUCAUCAAUCAUCGGAACGUCUCACGGGGAGAACAGACUGCAUUCAAACUGGUGCACACCAGCUCCAUGGCUGGAGAACAAGCACUCUUCACGCCUCAGCAGGAACAGGAAAUCCAAAGCAAUCGUCGCAAAUAAUACCUACCGCAAGACUCCCAAGGCUCCAGACUGCAAUUUCGACAGUACAAAAGCAGCUUUGCAGAAAUUAACUCUGUCGGUGUUUCCACAAAGGAUGCGAGCGCUGGAGAGACACUCCACUGGACUGACUGAAGAAGCAGCAGUACGUAAAUUUGUGCGCUCCCCACAACAUUAACAGCUUUGGUAUAUGCUGGACGGUCACUCUUUACUUUUUCUCUGAAGCCUGUAUAAUUACUGUCAAGGAAAAGGUUGAAUCUGCUGUACUGUUUAUUCUGUGAGCUGAAGAAAAUAAAACCGUCGCCCAUAUUAAGUGAGACCAUUGGUUUAUGGUGUCUGCUAUUAG